GUUGUUGUGGUCGAGUGGUUAAGGUGAUAUACUUGAAAUCUUUUUGGAAUUUUCCGUGAAGGUUUGAAUCCUGCCGACAACG
rnacentral:tRNA from 1 species